rnacentral:lncRNA from 1 species
AGACUCCUAGAUUCUAAAAAAAAGAUCCGUCAUUUCCAUUAGCUCUAAGAAGACCCCUCCCCCAAAACUCCAUCUCGGUGAAGACAUGAACACAUAAAUUGGACCCUCUCCCCCCAUUUCUACAAAAGGCGCAUCACCCCUGUAUUUUGGUCUUCUUCUCCGUCUUCAUUUCUUAAAAACACACACACAAAAAAUUUAAAAAUAUUUCGAAAUUCGGCGAUGGAAAUUGAAUCCCCAAAUCUGAAAUACGAUAGCUUCCAAAUAAAAGAAAGAAAAAAAGGAUAGAACAAUCUCUGAGUUGUGUGAAGGUGCUAUAUUUUUCUUUUCUAUUUCUGGGUUUCUUCUUCAGAAGUUUGUUCUUGUGUCAGAAAUUCUGCUCUUUCUCGACUGAAGUUGCUUGCUGAGUUCAAUCUUUAGUCUUACCUAGCAGAUUCUUUUUCCUUUCAAGAAUUCUUUUUUCCGGUAGUUCUCUCUCCCCACCAGGUAAUAAAUGUCUUAAACCUUUUUAUACAAGUAAGAACAUUGUAAAUUUGUUUCUAUUAUGGCCAUGUUUAACCUCAUGAACUUGACUGUGUUAAUUAUCAAAUAUGCUCAUGUUUAUGUUGUUUGGCUAUUUCAGUGUUAUUUCGAGCAAAAUCAUACUAUACUUGUUACGAUCUUUGAGGUCCUAAGCAGGUUCUUUCAUUUCUAUCUGGGCUUCCUUUGAAACCCUAACUUUGUUAAAAUCUCUUAAGAUCUGUAUUAUUUUUGGUAAUUUAAAUCCGUUUCUUUCUAUGGCUUUACACUAUUCUCAAGUUUCUUCUGAAAAUUCAUCGAUUUUAAGUUGUUUUACUUUCUUUAAAAGUUAGUUUUUUUUCCGGAAUUUCUUCUACACUCUAUUUAAACCGAAUUUUCAUGUUUUAAAUUCUGUAUCUCGAACGAUUAUGUGUUUUUACUCCUUUUUCAGCUCGUCUAUAUUGAAAACCCUAACGUUUUAGCCUCAACCUUGGGUUUAUGAGUUCUGUUUUGAUAAUAUGUUCAGUUAAUCUAUGUGCUUCUUUGAUUCUAUGACUUUUGUCCUAUGUUUAAUUUGUUGAGGUUCCAUAUAUGGGACAACUCAUACCACAAGUGCCUACAGGCCACAACCUUUCAAAAAUAACAAUAUCAAUGUUACCACAACAUAUAGCCUACAGCUCAACCAUGAUGUGUACAUGAAUCUCAACAGAAAUAAAAUAAAUCGGGGAAAAUAAUUCGACAAAAAAAAGUACUCAUUAAACUAUACCUUCAACUAAAACAGGUUAUUGUAUUUCAAUAACUUUAACUUUAGUUAAUUGCUUAAGAAUAAACUCAAUAAGUAAGGUAUUUCCAUGAUAUGGAAACUUUGAAUUUUAGUGUAUGACAUAAGCUAACAAUGAAUGAGAUGGCAUGAACUAGCAACUAUGUAAAAGUGCAUGAGAAAACUUGAAAACAAAAGGGAUAUCAUGUAAUAGCAACUUCAAAUGAGAAUAAUAUAACAAUGAAAGAGGUAAUGUGACAAUAAAAGGUAAUAACUUCAAGUAAAUAAUAUAAGAGUAAACUUAAAAAAUAAGGAUAGAACAUACACUAACAGCUUCAAUUAAAGCAUGCAACAAUAAAUUUAACAAAGGAAUAUAGAAAAUGUAACUAAUAAUUCAAUUAAAUGCAUAUAAGAAGCAAAAGAGUCUAAUCUGUUCAAUUACCACAUAUAAGGUCAUUUACACAUCUUCCAUACAAUCCAAAUAGUGCUAUGAGCAUUUGAAUAAAUCAACCAUUAGAAGCAAUUUAGAAUAAUAGGAAUAGGAACUUGAACAGAUAGACCACUCUUGGAGUUUGUGAGAAAUUCACGGAAUCCGAUUCUAUUGAAGAAGUUUAGCCAAACAUACCUUAAAUUCACCCCUAAUGAUACUACGAUGGUCCACCAUACUAAACAACUUCAAUCUAUUACAAUGCAAUACAAUUGUACCAAUAUUAUUAAGGUUGUUUUACAUUUUGCUCACUAAGGAAUUAUGUCAAGCAUCUAAUGUGCACAUUUCUCUACUAAUCCAAUACCCACUCUUUGCCCCACCAAUUCAUACUACAACCAACCUUAGAUAGUUUAGGAUCUCCAACAACAUAUUCAUGUUUUAUAUUUCACUCCCAACUAUUUAAUUCAUUAAACAAAUCAUUUUUUAUUAUUUACAAAAUCUCAAAAUUCCAAUUGGUGAACUAAUGGCUUCCAAUCACCAGUUGAUAAGUUCUACCUCAAAAUUUAUACUUACAUAUUAAUUAUUAAGCCAUGCAUGCAAGUACAAGGAGAUAGAAUUACUCUUUGGGAGUAAAUUUUUCAAAGUCCCACUUAAGCUGUCGAGAAGAUUCCUUGAAAUCUAAUGAUUUCAUGGUUGAUUGGCUUAGUUUUAGUGUGACAUUGAUGAAAUAAAACACCAAACUAGUGGCGAUUAAUCACCUUAAAGAUAAGAGUAGUUGGAGGAUAUUGAGAGAGGGGAGAAGAGCUCCAAAAAUAGGCAAAGUAAAAUGGGGAAAAAAGAAAACAAAAAUAAACUUUUUAAAAGAUUGGUUUGAGCUUCGGGGGAGGCAGCAUGCGCUGGUCUAAAAAUGGCUCUUGGUUUGGGUGCUACAAGAGGCGCCACAUGCUGACAUGAUCACCAGAGUUUUUUGCAUGACAACCAUUUAGUAAAUAUAUAAGAACGACUCAUAGGAAUGUCUAAAUAAUGCACUAUUUGAAGCGUCGGAAACUAGCUUUUAAAGAGCUUUCAUUUAAUAGUUAGACCACCCUAUAACUCUUUAUAUUUUGGUAGUUAUGCUUGUUUGAAAUUGGAUAAUAUGUAAGCUCCUUGGAAAUUGUAGUCUGUCACAUAGCUUCCAAUUUAGCUUGGUCCUAGAGCUUUCAUUAAACCUGAAACCACAUCGAAUAUACCUCUCACACUUAUUAUCAUGACAAUAUAAGUUGGUUCUAGUCCAUAGUCUCGCAAAACAGUACUUAAGAAACUCAUGAGCAUGCUUUAGAGCCUUAAAUCAUUAGAAAAUCUUAAGUGUCCUUACAUUAUUCCCCACCUGGGAAAAUUCGUCCUUGAAUGUUAGAUCUUGGCAUUUUUCCUCCUUAGAACGAGUACUUAGGUUUUCUUGCCACUUAUUCAUCUUCAUUAGUUUCUCAAACCUUAAUCGACUUCCUGAUGACCUUACAAGACUUGUCUAUGUAUAAAGUCAUCCUCCUUACCCCUAAACCAGCAUCUUAAUCCUUCAUAAAUUACCCUCAAGCCUUGGUGCUUCAAAAUUUGGCUAACUCCUUCAAUUUCAAGAAAUUUUGGUUGAGCUUUUCCUAUAUUUGGGCCUAUCUAGUUGUUAGAGAACCACAAAAAUCAAUCCUAACAACGCACCCACAACUCAACAAAGAAUCACAAACAUGGAAACAGCACCAACUAUAACAUUAUGUGCAUCCUAGCAUAAGUUGUACCAGUCUAGAAUGUAUCUCAUAGAAAAGCAAAAUUCUAUCAUUCUUCUAAACAUAAUGAGGUGGUUCUACAGACAAAAGGAGAUUUUUUUUCGUAUCCUCCUCUACUUCCUAGGUGGCUUCUUCGACCUGUUGGUUUCGCUAUAGUACUUUGACAUCAGCAAUCUCCUUAUUUAUCAACGUACGAACUUGUUUGUCGAGGAUAGCAACAGGAACCUCUUCAUAGUUAAAGCUUUUAUUUACUUCAAUAGUAUCCGUAUGCGCAAUGAGUUAUGGAUCUCCAAUUACUUUUGUUACACCCCAUGUUUUCGUACUUAAGAGUACGUCAUAAGUCAAUUAAUGUAAGCUUAGAAAUAGAAUCAUCUUUGAAAAGUUUACAAAAUUAGUUCAUCAUAUUAAAAUGGAGGUUACAAAUAUUUAAGAUCUUUAAUACCAAGUAGCAAGAGGAGUUAAAGGCUUAUAAGCUAAACGAAUUGAAGAAAAUAAGUUUCGUGAAAGUCGACAAGUUGGAAUGUUUUACCAUGUACUUUUUGGAUGAAACUAGGGUGAUUAACAUUAUAAGGAGAUUGUAAUAUGAUUUAUUUUAUUCGUCUUAUAGUUGGUAAUAUGUUUUGAAGUCAAGCGAUUUAUGCAACAAAAGUUGGAAAUGAUCAUCACAAGUUCCAUUCAUAAAUAUGCUGAAAAUUAGGUCAAAUGUAACUGAGCUUUUUUCCUACUUUACUUUAAAUUACAGGAUGAUCUACCUACCAAAUUGAAUAUCCACGAUUGUAGUUCCAAUAGAUUAAACCGUUCAUUGAUACAGCAUUCUAAUAGAGAGAUGUUCAUAUUUCCGCGAGAUUGCGCAGCUAGUAGGCGACAAGUAGGUGAAUCACCUACUUGCCAAAAGGAAAGGCAUCAAUUAAAAUACCCAAAGUCGGCCAAGAGUGUACUUUUAAGGGCUAUUAAACUCAUUUCUUUAAUUAUAUUUCUGACCAAAAAGAUCAAAUUGAACCCCUGCAACUCCUCCUCAAAAAUCUCAUACAAACCCGAGGUUAUUUCGGAUGCUACAAUGCAAUUCUAGUGCUGAAAAAUCC